UGUCAAACCUCACGCUGUCUAUCAUGUUCUAUCACAUUGUCCUCCACAUUUACAUAGAGUAGUACAACUUAAUACUGCCUUUACACAUUUGCAUUUCCUUAGUAACCGUGUUCACUUUGACUUAUCAGUUAAGCGCUUGCUGCAGGAAGUUAUUAUAAAGUCAUAUGGUAUAUUCAUCACAGAUGACAAGGACUGUCAUCUGAGGACUUCAUAUGUAUU
rnacentral:lncRNA from 1 species